GAUGAACGCUGGCGGCGUGCUUAACACAUGCAAGUCGAACGAAGCACUUAACUUGAUUUCUUCGGAUUGAUUGUUCUGUGACUGAGUGGCGGACGGGUGAGUAACGCGUGAGCAAUCUGCCUUUCAGAGGGGGAUAACAUUCUGAAAAGAAUGCUAAUACCGCAUAACGUAUCGAGAUGGCAUCUUCUUGAUACCAAAGGAGUAAUCCGCUGAAAGAUGAGCUCGCGUCUGAUUAGAUAGUUGGUGGGGUAACGGCUCACCAUGGCGACGAUGUCUAGGGGAACUGAGAGGUUAAUCCCCCACACUGGUACUGAGACACGGACCAGACUCCUACGGGAGGCAGCAGUGAGGAAUAUUGGUCAAUGGUCAGACGACUGAACCAGCCAUGCCGCGUGAAGGUGACGGCCCUAUGGGUCUUAAACUUCUUUUGCAAGGGAGCAAUAAGAGCUACGUGUAGCUUGAUGAGAGU
rnacentral:rRNA from 1 species